AAAAAUGAAGAUAAUAGUGAGUACAGAGAAUUACUGAUGGAAAACAAAGAGUUAAGAGAUAAGAUAGUUGAUAAAGAAAUAAUCAUAAAACGGUUGUCUGAUGAAGUGAAAGAGUUAAAGAGAAACCGCGAUUGGGAAGGUAUAUUAUGUGAGAUAAUCAAGGACAUGCAAGUAAAUUCUGAUAUACCACAAGUUUCUACUCUCAUUCAUGCGAAUAUGAAGAUAACUGAGACUUUUGUUGCAAAUCAAAAUUCUUUAGUAAAGCGUGUCAAAGUGCAGGGUAGGAAGAGGAUUCCUUCAAAAGUCUUACAAUCUCCAUACACUGAACUUUUAUGUAAAACCAAAGGUAAAAGUAUAUGUGAAACUCCUGAAAUCUAAUCACGUAUGGAAAAGAGUAAUGAGUAUAUGUUAUCCCAAGAAAAGGUGAAUGCAAUUACGACUCUUAAAGCUCAGAAUAAAAUCAAGGAUCAAAUAUUUGGCCCACUUCAUGUCGAAAGGAGAUCCUUAGAGUCAUUGUUGAAUCCAAUGAAAUGGGUAGAUGAUGAGGUUAUAUCCAAGUAUGGUGAAUUGAUGGCUAUUCGAGAAAAUAGAGGUGGGCAUAAUUUGUUAAAAUGUCACUUCUUCAGCACAUGGUUUCAUGUA